GGUUAAGUUAGAAAGGGCGCACGGUGAAUGCCUUGGCACUAGGAGCCUAAGAAGGACGCGACGAACGGCGAAACGCCUCGGGGAGCUGUAAGUAAGCUUUGAUCCGAGGAUAUCCGAAUGGGGGAA
rnacentral:rRNA from 1 species